GCACGAGACUGCGAGUGAAGGGAUGAGCUCAGCGCUAAAGAUUGGGGUUGUACGRCCWCCAAUCGGUGUAGCGUUUGGCGUGUCUAGUCGGUGGUCGUAAUUGGGUCUAAAUUUCGCUGGAACGCGGUUGCAAAGAUGGUUUUACACCAGUCUGACCCGAUUUGGCCGCCGAAUUGUCAUGUCUAGAGUCGGGUUGUUUGGAAACGCAGCCCAAAGUGGGUGGUAAACUUCACCUAAAGCUAAAUACGGCCACGAGACCGAUAGCAAACAAGUACUGUGAAGGAAAGUUGAAAAGCACUUUGAAAAGAGAGUGCAAGAGAACGUGAAACCGUUAUAGUGGAAGCGGAUGGAGCCGACGUAUCCAGUACGUAUUCAGCCGUUGGCGGGUGUAAUCGACCGUUGUGGGGUUCUGCAAAGUCUCCCGGCGGUCUCUUUGCUCACGUCGACGGUGCAUUUGCGUACAGAGUGCGCCGAAUCGGUUGAGCACGCGGUUGGAAGCCGACGAAGAGGACCUCCCUUCGGGGUUGGAACCCUGCGUCUUGGCGGAUGACGGUCGAGCUUAGCUGCCCAUGGAGGCUGGCAUACGUUGCAAUUUCGGYCGRCUAGGUUUGYUCGUGUACGACGCUUGCGUUUUGCGCUUGUGGGCCUGGUCGGUCGGGGUUGUUUCCCCGCCUCGAAUUCGGUGUUCAGUCGGUCACCCAUUCGACCCGUCUUGAAACACGGACCAAGGAGUUUAAGGUGUACGCAAGUCAUUGAGCAUGCGGAAACUCAAAGGCGUAAUGAAAGUGGGCCACCCAGUGGCUGUGAUGCGACUCGGCGGGGAUUCGUCAACGUCGAGGCAGCAUCGACCCAUGACUGGGCCUCGGCCUGUUGUGGAGUCCGAGCGUACGCUUUGAGACCCGAAAGAUGGUGAACUAUGCCCGAACAGGACGAAGUCCAAGGAAACUCUGAUGGAAGUCCGAAGCGGUUCUGACGUGCAAAUCGAUCG
rnacentral:rRNA from 1 species